UUCGGAAUUACUGGGCGUAAAGGGUUCGUAGGUGGCUUGCUAAGUCAGACGUGAAAUCCCUCAGCUUAACUGGGGAACUGCGUCUGAUACUGGCGAGCUUGAGUGCAGGAGAGGAACGCAGAAUUCCAGGUGUAGCGGUGAAAUGCGCAGAUAUCAGGAGGAACACCAGUGGCGAAGGCGCCGCUCUGGGCCGAGACUGACGCUGAGGAGCGAAAGCGUGGGUAGCAAACAGG
rnacentral:rRNA from 1 species